UACGAAGGUGGCAAGCGUUGUUCGGAUUUACUGGGCGUACAGGGCGCGUAGGCGGUUGGAUAAGCCCUCCGUGAAAUCUCCAGGCUUAACCUGGAAAGUGCAGAGGGGACUGUUCAGCUAGAGGAUGGGAGAGGAGAGCGGAAUUCCCGGUGUAGCGGUGAAAUGCGUAGAGAUCGGGAGGGAGGCCGGUGGCGAAGGCGGCGCUCUGGAACAUUUCUGACGCUGAGGCUCGAAAGCGUGGGGAGCAAACAGG
rnacentral:rRNA from 1 species